UCUUUCUUUCGAACACCUUCUUUCUGCGAUGCCCAGGGUUCCCCCUCAGGAAGAGUAACAGACAGCUUGUCCACUAUGGGAGUGUGCCUGAGGCUGCAGGCACUGACGGUGUGGAUGGAGAGAAUACACACGGGCGGCCCCGGCGAGGGUAAGGAUGCCGAAAACUUGAUCUUAACAACACAGUGUUCCUGUGUCUUGGAUGCUUUCCUGCCCACCUGCUCUCAUGCAGUUCCACCUCCUCCAAAGCCACCCGCCUCCCCCCUCGACCCUCUGCCUCUCGUCUCAGGGCCUGGACAUCAGGUGUACAGUUUGACUUUUCAUCUCAAGAUUGCCCAACAGCAAACACGGUGCAGGUCUCUGCAGCCGGGUCACCCCACUUCCUCAGCGGGACCAUCUUCCCCGCACAGGACAACCCAUCACCCGCAUCCUGAGCAGUGGGCCCGGUGAGCACCGGAAGACAAAGCCCUGCAUCUCCCUGCUUGGUCUCCUGGCCCUCCCCUCUCAGGCCUCAGUAUCCCCCCAGGGCCUGGCACUGAGCAGGCACUCAGAGACAGGGUGGGUGAACAAACCUUGAUUCCUUGUAUCUCCGAAGAAAUCCUUGAGCCCCUUCAGCGUCACCGCAGCACCCUGGGGGCUGCUUCAAGGUGGCCAGGCCACAGGAGGAGAGGUUCUGACAUCCAUACCCAACUCCACCCCCUCUGCUUCCUCCAAAUUUCCCAAAGGACGGAGUAACCCCCAACACCCACCUUCCUCCUGGGGCCACCACUCAGGCCUCAGGAGUCUGCAUCUCGAGCUGAGCUCACCUGAGCAGGUGUCGCCCUCCCUCUGCACUGUUUCGGGGCGGGAGGAAGCAGUCAGACAAACCUGCCUCCAAAUCCAGACUCUGCCCCUGCUUAGCCUGCCACCUCGGGCCCAUGACCUCAUCUCUCUGAGCUUCGAUCUCCCUUCUUCUGUAAAUCAGUGACAGUCAUACUUUUCUCAGACAGUUGUCCUGAGGAUGGGUGGGGAUCCUACACCCCCCUGCUUACCCAGGAAUCAUCCUCUGGCCGAGUGUGAACAAGAUCCAGUUGUUCUCAGCCGUGAAGAUGCAGCCACUAGCUGUGCGUCUCUGCAAUAACCACACACACCCUCUGGGCCCAGAUAUACCCGGAGAAGCAAAAUGGAAAGUGAAAGCCCUCAACCUCUGAGUCACUCAGGUCAAACAAACACUCUGCCUACUAGGCCUCACCCUGGGCUAUUCUCACCCUGAUGCUGAUCCCCUUAGAGAAACAAGUCCAGCCCUGACAUUCCAGGUCCUACUGGGCUCAGCACAUCUUGCCUCGGGCUCCUUGAAGGAAGACCUUCCACCAACAGACUGUGAGGCCCUUGGAGGAGUGAUGGGUGUUAUCCCAUGACGACCACACACACUGUAAGUCUGUUCUUACAAUCACCUGUAACAUAUGCCAGGUAUAUAAUGUGAUUUUGCAGAUAAGGAAUCUGAGGGGAGGGGAGAGGCCGGAGCUUUCUUCCACCAAAUCAGGGGAGGGCCAAAGAUUCAAACCAAGGUUGACAUUUGACAUUUGACACUUGCAAACACUGCUCCUUGCUUAAAGUUAUUUUUUGUCAUUGUUUUCUGUAAACUUCCUUCCUCCUGAUUCUUUUCCCUUUCACUAGCAUGACUUUAGCCAGACAAAACCACUGUGAGAUGCAGAACUGGAUUAAACAUCCAUAUGAGCUGCAGCCAGGUUGACAUAAAAUGUCCUCUGAUGAGAAUGCAGAAUGGUCACCGAACAUUAGAGGCCUCCAUAAAGACAGGCUCAUGGUAGAGCAACUAGACGGGGGCUGUAGACUCAAAUCGAGGUGAGGAUUAAGCAUCUCUUCACUCCAUGGUCAUAAGCUGAGACCACCCCAUUUGGAGACCCUAAAGAUCUAGUGACUAUAAAAUCGGCCUCAAUGUGACCCCCAACAUCACAAGAGAAGUCCCCCAGGAUGGCUACAGCUCCAGAGUCGAGGCCUUGGCUGAAAGCUUUGGUCCACAGCAAUUUCAGCCCACGGUGAUGGCGAUACCAACUCAGGGAGGAAGUAACCAGAAAACUCCUUAGGAAGGUGCCUGGCAGAGGUCACCAGCGUCACCUGGUGGAGUCUGGAAAGGUCAGCAGCCAGAGGCACGGGGCCACGGCCCCCGCGAGCCCUGCUCACCCAAUCUCUCUAUACCCGGGGGGAGGUGCGGAUGGUUCCCACAUGCUGGACAUCAGGAGGUGUGUGUCUAAAACCGCGACCCCCCUGCCCAUUGUCCUUUCUUAUAGGGACAGUGAGAGUGGAUAGGGAGCUUUAGACUGAGCGUGUGACCAUGGGGGCUUUUGGGUCCUCCGAGUGGCUGGCAGAGACGGGCACCAGGUGCGGAGCACAGGGGAUCACACUCCUUGCAGACAGCACCUGGUGACCUCAGGGGAACUGGUCUCGGCCUCUGGCUGCCAGGCCGCCAGCAUCAUCCACUGGACAAUCCUACUGGUCUUUCCUCAGGCGGGAAAAUUGGGCCCUGAGGGAUUUAGCAGUUGUCAGCCUCUGGAAGGUUAAGAACUAAGUAUAAAGAUGACCAAUAAAAUCAAGCCCACUCUUUUAAUAUUUUUAUGUUGAAAUCAAGACAAGUGUGUUUCAUUUUAACGUACGUAUUGUCAACUACAAAUUGGCACCUGCCGUUGGCACUUGCCAUCUGCCUCUACAAGGUUUAAAUCAUGAGCUGCUGCAGCUGCUGACCUUCCACACCCCCUGAAAGGAGUCCAGGGUGGAGAUCGGGAAUGAGGCCCUCUGUGCUCUGGGAAAAACUGGCAGAACAGAGAGUUAGGUAUUUUCAGGAGAAGAUUUUAUGAGCCCAAUCCUUGCAUCUCCUCGUACCUAGAACAGCACUAAAAUCCUUCAUGGUGACAUGGGGGGCUCGUGACUAGCAGUAACCUUCAUGAGACUAGCAGAAACCUUCUGUAAAAAAUAUGAGCUUGAUUGUAUGCACUCUCCCUUCACUAAAAUCACAUAUAUACUGACCUUCCCCCCGCCUCUUUGGAGCAGUUUCUCAGAGCUAUCUGAAAUGCUGUCUCCUGGGCUGCAGUCCUCAUUUCACCCCAGAUGAAACUUAACUCACAGGUCUCACGUUGUGCCUUUUUUUCAGUCGACAGUAUAAUGUUUAAGAGAAUUGGACACAUUCUCAGAGUUAACAACAGAUUUUGGAUCCUAAUUUAAAACAGUGGUUAAGAACCUGCCUGCCAAUGCAGGGGACACGCGUUCGAGCCCUGGUCUGGGAAGAUCCCACAUGCCGCGGAGCAACUAAGACCGUGCGCUCUAGAGCCCGCGAGCCACAACUACUGAGCCCGCAUGCCACAACUACUGAGCCUGCGUGCCGCAACUACUGAAGCCUGCGCACCCUGGAGCCCGUGCUCCGCAACAAGAGAAGCCACCGCAAUGAGAAGCCCGUGCGC